rnacentral:lncRNA from 1 species
AACAAUUCACAGCUUCACUUCUUCCUAGUUCAUUUAUUCCUCCAUUACAUUAAUCUUCUCAUGAAACACAAAUUCAUUUCUUUCUCCAUCACAACCACCAACAACACUGUUUCGCUCCAAAAGAUUGAUUUUGUAUGACUUUAAAAAAGUUUAAUUUAUGGGUUUGAAGGAUUGUUAUUGUUUGAUUUUCUGGGUUUGAUUUUGAUGAUAUUAUAUGGUGUUUGAAAUAUAAAUCACAAAGGGUAUUUUUGUCCGACAAUUAUUUUCCUUUUGCAGAACUAGAAACGCAUAGAGAAAUAAAAAAAGAUUGCUUUGGCG